rnacentral:rRNA from 1 species
GGGGAAUCUUGCACAAUGGGGGCAACCCUGAUGCAGCGACGCCGCGUGAGCGAUGAAGCCCUUCGGGGCGUAAAGCUCUUUCGACCGGAACGAUAAUGACGGUACCGGGAGAAGAAGCUGCGGCUAACUACGUGCCAGCAGCCGCGGUAAUACGUAGGCAGCAAGCGUUGUUCGGAGUUACUGGGCGUGAAGAGUGCGUAGGCGGUUUUCUAAGUUCGGUGUGAAAUCUCCCGGCUUAACUGGGAGGGUGCGCCGAAGACUGGGAAGCUGGAGUGUGGGAAAGGCAGGCGGAAUUCCUGGUGUAGCGGUGAAAUGCGUAGAUAUCAGGAGGAACACCGGCGGUGUAGACGGCUUGCUAGACCAUAACUGACGCUGAGGCACGAAAGCGUGGGCAGCAUACA